ACUCCUACGGGAGGCAGCAGUGGGGAAUAUUGGACAAUGGGCGCAAGCCUGAUCCAGCAAUGCCGCGUGUGUGAAGAAGGCCUUCGGGUUGUAAAGCACUUUUAUCAGGAGCGAAAUACCACGGGUUAAUACCCUAUGGGGCUGACGGUACCUGAGGAAUAAGCACCGGCUAACUUCGUGCCAGCAGCCGCGGUAAUACGAAGGGUGCAAGCGUUAAUCGGAAUUACUGGGCGUAAAGCGUGCGUAGGUGGUUUUUUAAGUCUGCUGUGAAAUCCCCGGGCUCAACCUGGGAAUGGCAGUGGAUACUGGAAAGCUAGAGUGUGAGAGAGGAUGGUGGAAUUCCCGGUGUAGCGGUGAAAUGCGUAGAGAUCGGGAGGAACAUCAGUGGCGAAGGCGGCCAUCUGGCUCAACACUGACACUGAGGCACGAAAGCGUGGGGAGCAAACAGGAUUAGAAACCCCAGUAGUCC
rnacentral:rRNA from 1 species